CCUUAGAGUUUGAUCCUGGCUCAGGAUGAACGCUGGCGGCGUGCCUAACACAUGCAAGUCGAACGGAAUUUACAUGAAGCCUAGCGAUUGUAAAUUUAGUGGCGGACGGGUGAGUAACGCGUGAGGAACCUGCCUCAAAGAGGGGGACAACAGUUGGAAACGACUGCUAAUACCGCAUAAGCCCACGGGUCGGCAUCGACCAGAGGGAAAAGGAGCAAUCCGCUUUGAGAUGGCCUCGCGUCCGAUUAGCUAGUUGGUGAGGUAAUGGCCCACCAAGGCGACGAUCGGUAGCCGGACUGAGAGGUUGAACGGCCACAUUGGGACUGAGACACGGCCCAGACUCCUACGGGAGGCAGCAGUGGGGAAUAUUGCACAAUGGGGGAAACCCUGAUGCAGCGACGCCGCGUGGAGGAAGAAGGUCUUCGGAUUGUAAACUCCUGUUGUUGGGGAAGAUAAUGACGGUACCCAACAAGGAAGUGACGGCUAACUACGUGCCAGCAGCCGCGGUAAAACGUAGGUCACAAGCGUUGUCCGGAAUUACUGGGUGUAAAGGGAGCGCAGGCGGGAAGACAAGUUGGAAGUGAAAUCUAUGGGCUCAACCCAUAAACUGCUUUCAAAACUGUUUUUCUUGAGUAGUGCAGAGGUAGGCGGAAUUCCCGGUGUAGCGGUGGAAUGCGUAGAUAUCGGGAGGAACACCAGUGGCGAAGGCGGCCUACUGGGCACCAACUGACGCUGAGGCUCGAAAGUGUGGGUAGCAAACAGGAUUAGAUACCCUGGUAGUCCACACCGUAAACGAUGAUUACUAGGUGUUGGAGGAUUGACCCCUUCAGUGCCGCAGUUAACACAAUAAGUAAUCCACCUGGGGAGUACGACCGCAAGGUU
rnacentral:rRNA from 1 species